rnacentral:lncRNA from 1 species
AAAUAACUGGGGUUUGGAGAAAUGUGACAUCCGUAAGUACAGUCUGAAGCUGCAGUCAUGUUGGAAAGGAUGGACUGCAGAGAGUAGUGAGAAGAGACAGAGCUGGUUCAACAAGAAGCACUUUAAAUAUCUUGCUGAAGACUUCUGAACUCUAUCCUAUAGGUAGUGUGAAGACUUCUGAGGAUUUUACUCAAGGAUAUGAUGAGAUUAAAUUUAUGUUUUGAUCACAUUUUUAUUAAGGGCACAGUAUGGAUGAUGGGCUACAAGGAAUGAAGAAUGAACUUGGGUAAGGAGUUGAAAGAAUGUGUGUAUUCAACACACACAUAGAAGACAAUGACAGCCUGAACCAAGGCCGUCACUGUGGGACAGAUCUGGGUGAGGGAACUGAAUUAAAUGCAAUUCUGAAAGACGAUUGAAAGACUGUCUCAGAUACUUUUCUGGGAAAUAAAUCUACAGAUUUUAUUCAACUUUCAAAGAGGCUCUUGAUCCAGAGAGUAUGAGAAAUACAAAUUUGAAACAAUAGGCAUAUAUCAUAAGAAAAGAAAUUUGGGAGAAAACAUUUAAGAGUCAGAAAAAAAAAACUGGAAAAGAGAGAAAGUUCAGCCACAAAGUCUGAAGAAGAACUGCACUUCUGGUGAGCAUACCCAGGAAAUCUCUGCAUGAGAGUUAUCUUAAGAAAAUAUAUUUAAAAUACACUGAAGGCCCAACACAGUAGUCUCCUGGGCAGAGCCAGCUGUGUCUAAGUCUUUGAUUUCUUGAAUAUAAAGGGAGAAACACUGCUAUGAGAUUAUUGCAUUUUAUUCAGAAGACUGAAAUGUGAGGAUACAAGCUUCUGGGGCCCAAAAAGCCAACAGGAUCUGGUGAGGUUUGGCAAUAUAAUUCAGAGAAAAUCCUCAAAACUACUCAGCAAA